ACGUACACUCCUGCGGGAGGCAGCAGUAGGGAAUCUUCGGCAAUGGACGAAAGUCUGACCGAGCAACGCCGCGUGAGUGAAGAAGGUUUUCGGAUCGUAAAACUCUGUUGUUAGAGAAGAACAAGGAUGAGAGUAGAACGUUCAUCCCUUGACGGUAUCUAACCAGAAAGCCACGGCUAACUACGUGCCAGCAGCAGCGGUAAUACGUAGGUGGCAAGCGUUGUCCGGAUUUAUUGGGCGUAAAGCGAGCGCAGGCGGUUUCUUAAGUCUGAUGUGAAAGCCCCCGGCUCAACCGGGGAGGGUCAUUGGAAACUGGGAGACUUGAGUGCAGAAGAGGAGAGUGGAAUUCCAUGUGUAGCGGUGAAAUGCGUAGAUAUACGGAGGAACACCAGUGGCGAAGGCGGAUUGCUGGACAGUAACUGACGCUGAGGCGCGAAAGCGUGGGGAGCAAACAGGAUUAGAAACCCGGGUAGUCCCAUGA
rnacentral:rRNA from 1 species